rnacentral:rRNA from 1 species
UACCGAGUUUACAACUCCCAAACCCAAUGUGAACGUUACCAAACUGUUGCCUCGGCGGGGUCACGCCCCGGGUGCGUAAAAGCCCCGGAACCAGGCGCCCGCCGGAGGAACCAACCAAACUCUUUCUGUAGUCCCCUCGCGGACGUAUUUCUUACAGCUCUGAGCAAAAAUUCAAAAUGAAUCAAAACUUUCAACAACGGAUCUCUUGGUUCUGGCAUCGAUGAAGAACGCAGCGAAAUGCGAUAAGUAAUGUGAAUUGCAGAAUUCAGUGAAUCAUCGAAUCUUUGAACGCACAUUGCGCCCGCCAGUAUUCUGGCGGGCAUGCCUGUCCGAGCGUCAUUUCAACCCUCGAACCCCUCCGGGGGAUCGGCGUUGGGGAUCGGGACCCCUCACCGGGUGCCGGCCCUGAAAUACAGUGGCGGUCUCGCCGCAGCCUCUCCUGCGCAGUAGUUUGCACAACUCGCACCGGGAGCGCGGCGCGUCCACGUCCGUAAAACACCCAACUUCUGAAAUGUUGACCUCGGAUCAGGUAGGAAUACCCGCUGAACUUAAGCAUAUCAAUAAGCGGAGGAAAAGAAACCAACAGGGAUUGCCCCAGUAACGGCGAGUGAAGCGGCAACAGCUCAAAUUUGAAAUCUGGCCCCUCCGGGUCCGAGUUGUAAUUUGUAGAGGAUGCUUUUUGGUGAGGUGCCGCCCGAGUUCCCUGGAACGGGACGCCACAGAGGGUGAGAGCCCCGUCUGGCUGGCCACCGAGCCUC